UUCUGGAGGAGCGUGAACGCAUCAGGAGUCGUGAACGCAUCACGCAGCGUGAACGCAUCACGCAGCAUGUAGCGCGGGUUCAGUGAGUCUCAAAUCUCAGACCGGACCAGACGCGAGCUGCUCCACCGACCCGGUCCACAGACCUGGUGUUACGCUGAUCCCACUUGAACUGAACACGGGCCUCCGCCUCACCAACAUCAACCAUGACGGCCAUUAACGCUCCUCGAGACAAAUACAAUGCAGUAUGGAUCAUUUUCUUCAUCCUGGGUCUGGGAACCCUGUUACCAUGGAAUUUCUUCAUGACAGCAACAAUGUACUUUACCAGUCGGUUGAAGGACCCACCCGUUGAUCUACCUACCAAUGUCACGGCUAACAGCACAAUGGAGGGCGUAGACACCCGCAAUGUGCUGGAGUCCAAGUUCAACAACGUGAUGACUCUUUGUGCCAUGGUGCCUCUGCUCAUCUUCACCUGCCUCAACUCCUUCAUACACCAGAGGAUUCCUCAGAAGCUGCGGAUCUCUGGCAGCCUGACGGUCAUCCUGGUGGUUUUCCUGCUGACGGCUAUAUUCGUCAAGGUGGACAUGGCCCCGCUGUCCUUCUUCACCGUCACUAUGAUCAAAAUUAUCUGCAUCAACUCGUUUGGGGCGAUUCUUCAGGGCAGCCUGUUCGGGCUGGCGGGGAUGCUGCCCGCCUCCUACACCACUCCCAUCAUGAGCGGACAGGGGCUGGCUGGUGCCUUCGCCGCCUUCUCCAUGAUCUGCGCACUGGCCUCUGGGUCAGCCCUGCAGGACAGUGCUUUUGGUUACUUCAUCACUGCCUGUGUUGUUAUUCUCCUGGCCAUCAUGUCCUACCUCGCCCUGCCCAGGAUGGAGUUUUUCCAGUACUACACAGAGAGUAAUGGCUCCAGACCAUCUGAAGAUGAAGAGAACAAGAUGGACUUUCUCAAAAAUGAAAGUCCAGGAGAGAAGCGACCGGUGGUGAGUCUGGUGGAGGACGAGGCCAAACCCAGCGUGUCAGUGUUAAACAUCUUCAAACAGAUCUGGGUGAUGGCUCUGUCAGUUUGCUUCAUCUUCACCGUCACCAUUGGAACAUUCCCAGCUGUGACUGUUGAGGUCCAGUCUACAGUGGCAAACGGAGGCGGCUGGGAAAAGUACUUCAUCCCGGUGUCGUGUUUCCUCCUCUUCAACCUGAUGGACUGGGCCGGCAGGAGUCUGACGGCCGUCUGUAUGUGGAAAACCGAGCUGAUGAUUUGUCUAACCUGCGUUUCACAACCACAGAAUAUUCAUCGUGACACCCGGGUAAAGACAGUAUGUGGCUUCCCAUCCUCGUGGUUCUGCGCGUCGUCUUCAUCCCUCUCUUCAUGCUGUGUAACGUUCAGCCUCGUCACUACCUCCCCGUGCUGUUCAGCCACGACGCCUGGUACAUCAUCUUCAUGAUCUUCUUCUCGUUCUCCAACGGAUACCUGGCCAGUCUCUGCAUGUGCUUCGGACCCAAGAAGGUGCCGCAGCACGAGGCAGAGACGGCGGGGGCCAUCAUGGCCUUCUUCCUGUCGCUCGGCUUGGCGUUGGGCGCCGCAGUCUCGUUUGCUUUCCGGGCCAUGAUCUAAAACCUCCGGUGGAACGUUGAGCAGACGAAGAGUAGACGACCCCCGUCCUCCAUCAAUUUUCCCCGUCAUGAACCUUUCAACAUCCGGACUAACUGAGCUCCUCCGACUGAGAGGAGGCAGCACAGACGACCAGAGAAUCUCUGACUUCUGACGUGUACAGUCACCAUGGCAACUAAAUAAGCUGAAAAGUUACUGAAUAGUUUUUAUUUAGUUUUAAUUUGCUCCAAAAACUUAACUGUUCUGGGUUUUUUGUUGUUUUUGUAUUUUUUUUAUCAAUGCUACUGAUCAAAGUGUUUAUUAUUUUUUUUAAGAUGAAACCAAAAGAUUUAAAAGAAAAAAAAGAAAAAGGUUUUAGUGAGCUCAUCAUCUGGAAGACGACUAAACGAAAUCAGACAACGGCCGAAUGUGGAGCCGGACAGUGAACAGAGACGUUCUGCACACUGACCCUCAGAGCCCUCGUUCAAAAACCUUUUGCACAAAAAAAUUGAAAAUUGUGUUAAUGAAGUUGAAAGUAAUUUUUUUUAUUCUCAGAAUUCACAUGAAGUUCGGGGCUCUGCGAUGCAGGUGUUCGGCUCGUCUCCGUUAACUGAACACUCAAGACUUGUUCAUCAGUGAACUGAGAUGUCAAUGAUUUUAUACAUCGAGCACGAAACAACAAACAGGACGUCGCUCUGUUGUGACUGUUGCAGCUUUUAACUCUGAUCAAGCCAAAUACACAAAGACGUGGGAAAACGAGAAACUCUGAACGGAGGUCAAGACCCACAAACCUGCUCCCUCCGUCUGCUUCAGUGUCGACUCGGGCCACUUCUACUAAAAAAACAAAAAAACAGAUGAAUGUAAGGACGGACUGAAUCCUGCAGAAGUUUAGUGUUAACCUUCGGAAAGUUACUCCCCUGUAGUUUUAUAUGAAGUUUGACAUCUCUGUCUGGUUAUAUGAAAACAUCCUCUGUGCCGCCCUCUGAGGUCUUCAUCUACAUUUUCAGGACACUGUUAAAACACCAGUAUUUUGAACGCAGUGAAAAGUUGUCAGUGACACAAAAUGUGCCAUAGUGAGUGAGAGAGACUGUUUAAACCUCACUGCUUUCUUUUGUUCUAUCUGUGCCAUUUUCCUUCAAACGUGUUCUCUUGUAGAAUGAGAAUUUAUACCAGAAUUAGUUAUUAGUACUGAAGGUGGAUAAAGAGCCGUCGUCUGCUUGCAUGUGAUAUUUUUGGAUUUUUGUUGCUUUUUUUAAAAAAAACUUCUGCUUUAGUUCUGCACAAUAUUCACAAAACCAGCUGCGUGCAUCAUGAUGUUGGUCGAACCAUGGAAAUGUUACUUUGAUUGCAGCUUCAAACAGUUCAGUGCUAAAAUAAAACUGUAUUUUUAAAACUCUGGCUCGUCCUGGUGGUCAUUAGUGGAAACAAACUGCUCAUCAGGACACAUCGGUUCCUGUGAGAUUAUCGCUGCUGAUACCAACUGUUCUGUAUCUAGUUCCCGUAGUGGAGCAAGUGAAUGUAUGUAACGAUCAGAUAACGGAAAAUCAUCAAGUGACACCUUCAACGUCUUAACCUUUUGUACUUGUACUUAGUAAAAACUCUUAAUAUAAAACCAGUGCCAGAUUGUAGUGAGGUAAAAAUUUGUGGUAUUUGAAUUUUUUUGGGGUAGAGGAAGGAAUUGACUCUAAAAGAAAAUAUCAGAGUUAAGUAAAAGUACUUCAGAUUUAUAUUUAUACUGUUUGACUCAGCUGAUGACGUGUGUGCUGCUGCAUGUGACUGAAUAAUGAAGUUUAACUGUCCAGGGCACAGGAAGAGAGAAAGCUUUCAGCCUCUCCCCCUCCCCCUCCCCCUCUGCCUCCUCUCUAACGAGCAAACCACUGUCACCUUCUCAGUAUUUAGAGUGAUGAAAUCUACAAAAUCAACAUUGUGACAAAUAUAUAACGAAGUCAGAAAUCCCUUACAACAGACUUUGAUGUAGUUAUGAAUGAUUAUGAAUAUUUAAUUAUUAUUUGUCUACAUUUCUUUGCAUUAUUAUCUGUUCAGCUGAGCCUCCGCACUCUACAGUUGUUACAACAUAUAUGAAUACACGUAUCUUCUACUUGAAUCCAUUAAAAAACAUUUAUUACA